rnacentral:rRNA from 1 species
AUUGAACGCUGGCGGCAGGCCUAACACAUGCAAGUCGAGCGAGCGGCGGACGGGUGAGUAAUGUCUGGGAAACUGCCUUAUGGAGGGGGAUAACUACUGGAAACGGUAGCUAAUACCGCAUACCAUCAGAUGUGCCCAGAUGGGAUUAGCUAGUAGGUGGGGUAACGGCUCACCUAGGCGACGAUCCCUAGCUGGUCUGAGAGGAUGACCAGCCAAACUGGAACGGAGACACGGUCCAGACUCCUACGGGAGGCAGCAGUGGGGAAUAGUGGACAAUGGGGGCAAGCCUGAUGCAGCCAUGCCGGGUGUAUGAAGAAGGCCUUCGGGUUGUAAAGUACUUUCGGCGGGGAGGCGUUACCCGCAGAAGAAGCACCGGCUAACUCCGUGCCAGCAGCCGCGGUAAUAC